rnacentral:rRNA from 1 species
CGUUCGGAUCGCAGCCUGCAACCCGGCUGCGUGAAGCUGGAAUCGCUAGUAAUCGCGGAUCAGAAUGCCGCGGUGAAUACGUUCCCGGGUCUUGUACACACCGCCCGUCACACCAUGGGAGCCGGAAACGCCCGAAGCCAGUGGCCUGACCGCGAGGAGGGAGCUGUCGAAGGCGGGUCCGGUGACCGGGGUGAAGUCGUAACAAGGUACC